AUAUGAUACCUUUUUGCAUGACUAUGAUACUGUAUUUGUGUAUUCAUAGAUACAGAUUUUUAAAACAUAUUCUUAUGCAAGGAAGGAAAACGUGUCGGUGAAUGACUUCAUAUUUCUAUUGUGACUUCUAUGUGCUCUGCACGGUUGCUGGAGUUCAGAAAACAUUGGAAAGAGUUAAAUGAGAAUGCAUAUGAGACACUUUUCCAUUCCUACACCAUUUCUCAUAGGAUUGCUGAUAACAUUGCUGGUAUUCAAAAUUGGUUGACUGAAUGAUGAAUAACAGAAGUUGGCUGGAAUUAACAUUUCCUAGGGUGAACUUUGUAAAAUGUCAGUCAUUCAAGAUAUACAGUGGAAAAAUGGUUCCAUGAAUUUAGCUUGAGGAAAACUAUAAAAUUACAAUUUUUUCUGAAGAUUCAGAUUGAUUUAUGGAAUCUGCAGUAAAAUAUUUUGUUGUACUGGUUGUUUUCUAUAACACUUGAUGGAGGAAAGUGUGUUGUGUGUGUAAAACAUAUUAUCAUCCUCUAGAAUUUGUGUUCUACGGAGCAAAG
rnacentral:lncRNA from 1 species